ACAGAACGACGAAUCCAUUCAUGUGAUUGAAAAAGUCGUGAGUUUUUAAAAGAAAUUUGGUCAUGAAGAUAUGGUGGUGGAGAUUGCCAUGAGAUGGACGAAAGUUUUGAGAACAGGUGGGUUAGGAUUGAGAUUCAUGGCUGUGGAUCGAAGCACGGUGAUGUUCAAUAUGCAUAAUGGGAAGGAAGUGACCGAGGUAAUGGUAAAAAAUGUUGUCAAACUUUAUUUACCGGAUUAGUCACAGAUCUUGAGAAGUGCAAUUGAUUUUGAAUUUAGCUAAGGGAGUUUGUGUUGAGCCAAGAAGAGGCUUAUGAGGUUAAUAUAUGGAAACCAGAGUUUCGAAGACCCGGAGAUCCUCCUCUUGAUGAUGUCUUUGAAAAACUUCAAGCAAAGCAAAGUAAGGAUGAUGAAGAUGGCAAUGGUAAAAGCGAGAAUGAUGUUACUAAGGAUGAGUUAUGCUGAUUGUUGGUGUCAUACAGGCAACGGAGGAGAGGUAUAGAAACAAAGGAGUUUAUAUUAUACUGCAGGCUCCUGACUUCACUGAUCCUCAGUUUAGAAGUUUUGAAGCAGUUACUCCACGACCAAAGGCAAAUCCUUUUUUUUAACUUUGAAAACGUGAUUGAUUCUGAUGAUGAGAUGGAUAAGUCUGCAUUGGACACCAACGAGAAACAAGCAAGUCACUGAUGCUGAGAUCGUGAAUAUAGCUGAAAGAGGAGAGAAUCUUGUAAUGGAAAUUUUAUUUUUUUAUUCCUAAGAAUUCCAUCUCUGGAAACACCAUUGGAGACACAUUUUUAAUUGGAAUCUUUAGCUAUUCAAAAAAAAAAAAAAGAAUAUUACUAAAAUAUUCUUAAGGAUUCUAAGGUGGAGUACACCAUUGCAUAUGCUCUAAGAGAAGAACAAAACUCACAAAGAAUUAAGUAUCUGUUGUACUGUUUGUGUAACAUUGAGUCAGUUGUAUGCAGGUGUCGUAUCAUUA